UACGUAGGAAGCAAGCGUUGUCCGGAAUCACUGGGCGUAAAGCGCGUGUAGGCGGUCCGGUAAGUCGGCUGUGAAAGUCCAGGGCUCAACCCUGGGAUGCCGGUCGAUACUGCCGGACUAGAGUUCGGAAGAGGCGAGUGGAAUUCCCGGUGUAGCGGUGAAAUGCGCAGAUAUCGGGAGGAACACCUAUGGCGAAGGCAGCUCGCUGGGACGUUACUGACGCUGAGGAGCGAAAGCGUGGGGAGCGAACAGG
rnacentral:rRNA from 1 species